AACCCGUUUGCCGAACUGUCACCGGAUGGUGUGCGUUCCCUCGCGGGAUAGGCGACGGGUUUCUG
rnacentral:sRNA from 12 species